UUGGAGGGCAAGUCUGGUGCCAGCAGCCGCGGUAAUUCCAGCUCCAAUAGCGUAUAUUAAAGUUGUUGCAGUUAAAAAGCUCGUAGUUGAACCUUAGGCCCGUGCGGGCGGUCCGUCCUCUGGGCGAGCACUGCCUCGUCGCGGGUCUCACCUUCUGGCGAGCGGGGAUGCCUUUCAUUAGGUGUCGUCGGGAACCAGGACCUUUACCUUGAAAAAUUAGAGUGCUCAAAGCGGGCUCUUACGCUUGAAUACAUUAGCAUGGAAUAAUGAAAUAGGACGACAGUUCUAUUUUGUUGGUUUCUGGAACGGUCGUAAUGAUUAAUAGGGAUAGUUGGGGGCAUUCGUAUUCAAUUGUCAGAGGUGAAAUUCUUGGAUUUAUUGAAGACGGACUACUGCGAAAGCAUUUGCCAAGGAUGUUUUCAUUAAUCAAGAACGAAAGUUGGGGGAUCGAAGACGAUCAGAUACCGUCGUAGUCUCAACCAUAAACUAUGCCGACUGGGAAUCGGGCGAUGCUAUUUUUAAUGACUCAUUCGGCGCC
rnacentral:rRNA from 1 species